rnacentral:lncRNA from 1 species
GAAUAACGUAAAUGAACGGGCGUACAAGAGUUUAUCAUGUGGGUGUCGAGGCCUUGAGGAGCUUCAAGUCAUGUGGCAGCAGCGCUGGCACCGGACCGCCUGAGGCGCUGCUUGGCUGCAGAAAUCAAUGAAGAGGUUCAAAGGCUAAUGAGAAGAGGAUGGGAAAAGAAGCUGACAGAUGGAUGGACAGACAACGUGACUGUGAUGAAAAUGACAUUUCUUUGUAUGAUGCGUCAUCCCCACAGUACCAUCUUCUGCUUGAUGAAGUGUGUGAGCCAUAGCACUGCAAGCCUGAUUUGGAAAAAAGGAGCCUACAGUCCGUCAUUCCUUCAUCUGUCUGAUGCCAGGGAGGUAUCAGAUGAUCCCUUAAGAUCAUCUUAGGAUGUGGCCUAAUGAAUACGCUAAGAAAAGUGAGUCUGAUGGAAAUAUCUGUCUUAGAGAUGACAGAAUAUAUUUGUUUUGAUUGCCUGUGAUUAUUUCCAACUUCAAUAAACUUUUUUCACUUUCUUGUUUUCCCUAGUAU